GUUAUGUUCUUGAAACUUAAAGAAUUUGGCGGUAUCUCAUUCCGUUCAGAGGAAUCUGUCUCGUUAUCGAUAGUCCACGUUGGACCUUACUUAGUUGAAUUUAUUGGUUUGUAUACCGCCGUUUAUUGAUUAUCUUUUUAGAGUUUGUUUUAAUUUUCUGGUUUCUUUAUUCUGAUGUAUUUCAGGUCAAGGUGCAGCUUGUUUCUAAGUGGAAUGAUGGAUUACAUUGUUAUUUGUAUUUAUGGAUUGUUGAUUUUAAUAUUGACAUGAAAUUGGAUUUGGUUGUAAUAGUUUGUAGAUUGUUACUAUGAUAGUUGGUUCUGAGAUAUGCACACAUCGCCCGUCGCU
rnacentral:rRNA from 1 species